GGGUCUGUGAUGACAACCCAAUGUCACGAAAAGGGGUGAUGACAUAAAAUUCACGCUCAGUAGGAUUACGCUGAGGCCC
ensembl:snoRNA SNORD115 Small nucleolar RNA SNORD115